AGAACGAACGCUGGCGGCAUGCCUAACACAUGCAAGUCGAACGCUUUGCCGGUUUCGGCCGGCAAGGAGUGGCGCACGGGUGAGUAGCGCGUGGGAACCUGCCCUGUUGUGGGGGAUAACCGAGGGAAACUUCGGCUAAUACCGCAUGCGCCCCCGGGCCUGGUCUUCGGAUUAGGUUUGGGGGGAAAGAUUUAUCGCAGCAGGAGGGGCCCGCGUCGGAUUAGCUAGUUGGCGGGGUAACGGCCCACCAAGGCAGUGAUCCGUAGCUGGUCUGAGAGGAUGAUCAGCCACACUGGGACUGAGACACGGCCCAGACUCCUACGGGAGGCAGCAGUGGGGAAUAUUGGACAAUGGGCGCAAGCCUGAUCCAGCAAUGCCGCGUGAGUGAUGAAGGCCUUAGGGUUGUAAAGCUCUUUCGCCCGCGACGAUGAUGACGGUAGCGGAGAAGAAGCCCGGCUAACUUCGCGCCAGCAGCCGCGGU
rnacentral:rRNA from 1 species